rnacentral:rRNA from 1 species
CACGUAGGGUCCGAGCGUUGUCCGGAAUUACUGGGCGUAAAGCGUGCGCAGGCGGUUGGGUCAGUCGCUGGUGAAAGCCCCACGCUCAACGUGGGAAUGGCCAACGAGACGGCCCGACUGGAGGCAGGGAGAGGCCGGUGGAAUUCCGGGUGUAGUGGUGAAAUGCGUAGAGAUCCGGAGGAACACCAGUGGCGAAGGCGACACGCUGGGCCGUACCUGACACUGAUGCGCGACAGCAUGGGGAGCAAACAGG